rnacentral:tRNA from 1 species
GCCGCGAUAGCUCAGCUGGGAGAGCGCUGCACUGAAGUUUCCACGCAAUGCAUAGGUCACCUGUUCAAUCCAGGUUCGUGGCA